rnacentral:lncRNA from 1 species
AAUCAUUCAAUUUGGGAAUGCACCAGAUGCCAUACAACCAUCCAUCAGCUUAUUUUCCACUUCAACAACAACCCGGACCUGCUGGUCACCAGAACAUGCAGAUGCCACAAUUCAAUCAUUCCCAGUCUAAUAUGCCAACCCAUCUUCUGCAUCAAUCAAAUUCUCAUACUUUUUCAGAUAUUAUGCAGAACGGACCUGUUGGUCAGUUACAGGGGCUUGACAUCGGUACCAAAGGAGCACCUCUCGUGAAGUCGGAAGGCCCCUCGCUUUCUGCAAGUGAAAGUAGUACCACUUUUUGACACAACAAGCUGGCUGCUGAUCUUCUGACCUGUCCAUGGCAC